rnacentral:rRNA from 1 species
AUUGAACGCUGGCGGCAUGCCUUACACAUGCAAGUCGAACGGCAGCACGGACUUCGGUCUGGUGGCGAGUGGCGAACGGGUGAGUAAUGUAUCGGAACGUACCUUUCAGUGGGGGAUAACGUAGCGAAAGUUACGCUAAUACCGCAUAUUCUGUGAGCAGGAAAGCAGGGGGAUCGCAAGACCUUGCGCUGAUUGAGCGGCCGAUAUCAGAUUAGCUAGUUGGUGGGGUAAAAGCCUACCAAGGCGACGAUCUGUAGCGGGUCUGAGAGGAUGAUCCGCCACACUGGAACUGAGACACGGUCCAGACUCCUACGGGAGGCAGCAGUGGGGAAUUUUGGACAAUGGGGGCAACCCUGAUCCAGCCAUGCCGCGUGAGUGAAGAAGGCCUUCGGUUGUAAAGCUCUUUCUAGUCCGGGAAGAAAUACGCAUAGGCUAAUACCCUCGUGUGGAUGACGGUACCGGAAUAAGAAGCACCGGC